CCUAACUACCUUUCCAGGAUGCCACUUGGUCAGCUACCGUUUGGAUAAAAGCAACGUUACUUUUAAAAGGAGUCUGCAAAGGGAAGGAGACAGACUUGCAAUUCAACAGAAAAGGGUGUGUCAGAAUGAAGAAUCGUCAUGUUCAACCUAAGGCAAGGUGGUGAGGGGCGAAGGAAUCCAAAGAUGGGGUAGAGAGUGGAUGUCUUCUCCAACAUACGAAGGCAAAGAAAAAGGUUUAUCCUUCCUAGCAGCAAAUGAAUAACAGGAAGAUCACAGAAAGCCAGAAUGUGCCUGAGCUGCCACAUCUAUAAUACGGACCAACAAGAUUUCUUCCUGCUGGGUGACCCGGCUGCAUCACCCAUCAAAGAGAAUUAGUCUCAAAGGAAUAGCUUGCUUAUGGAUUUAUAGACGUUGACAAUAAUCCUAAAUGGAUGCUAGAGGAAUUGACAAAUCUUAGCAUUCUUCCUCAGUGCCUGUGCACCUGGGGGAAACACUGGAGGUCUCAGCAUUUUUUAAAGAAGGGAGGAAGUCACUGACAGCUGAUACACAAACAGGUAAGGAAAGCCUAGGGAAGCAGGAGCCAUUUGCUGAUGCAAAAUUCUGCUGGAAACAUUCGAAAGGAGUGGCCUAGUCAUGGUAAUUGUAGACAGGGGAUAUAUGGUGGCAGCGAGUGGACUGGCUAGAUGGAAGAGGGAUUGUGUUUACAGGCUAUUCCCUCUUCCGGUCUACCACAUAGCCAUAGGGACCUGAUCUGAUCUGCCAAAUUACCAGUGGAUCUCAUAGUGCCAGGUCGCUCUGUAAUGAAAACUAGCAAAUGAGAAAGCUAGUCUGGGUCCUGUGGAUUUAUCUUCUGUCUUCCUGUUACUAAAUUAAGUUAAAUAUCUUUUAGCUUAAGUAUCUGAAGAAGUGUGCAUGCACACGAAAGCUCAUAUGAAUGACAAACUUAGUUGGUCUAUAAGGUGCUACUGGAAGGAAUUUUUUUAUUUUGUUUCGACUACGCCAGUCGAACAUGGCUACCUACCUGUAACUUAAAUACAGUGGUACCUCGACUUAUGAAGACGAUCUGUUCCGCGGCCGUCUUCGUAAGUCGAGGUUUUCGGUUCUCGAAGCACUGCUUCGGCGCAUGCCUUCGGUUGUUGAGGUAUGACUGUAUCUUUGUUACAGUUCAUAUUCAAUAGUGACUGAUAUGAGCUGCUUCAAAGCUCUUUGCAUUGAUAACUAUGGAGCGCUUGGGUGGAAGCACAUUGUUGUAAGGACAGAUGAUGCAGAGGAUUUCGCUACUCCAGAAAGCAGGUGAGGGAUUGCAAGUUUGAAUGCUGUCCCAUCUAAAGGAGCAACAACCUCUCCCUAGAGCCCCUCCAAAUGGAAAGCUGGUACCGUAGUACAUCAGAAAGAAAAGCUGAGGUAAAGCCCUACUCUCAACUUUCCAGGAAGUAGUUGUUGUUGUUUGGGGAAGCGUUGAGAUGUGUUGAUUCCCACCAGUAUCCUGAAAUGGCAUCAUCCCAAGAGAUCUUUGCAGUAUGCCUCUGGUUCGCCACUGAAACUUCCAUCAUACCUGGCCGUUGGCCAUGCUUGCUGGGGCUGAUGGGAAUGGCAGUCUAGUAAAAGCUGGAAGGCCAAAGGUUCUCCACGCUUGCUCUACAAUGUGCUUUUCGAAUCCUUGAACUGAAUGCCUCACAAAGGUUAUUGAUCUUAUUGUUAGAAAUAGGGAAAUUGACAAAGGCCAGAAGUAUUUCAUAGAACAAUCCAAGGUGGCUUGGGUUUUCAUUGCGGUCGUGGAAUAUC